ACACAUGCAAGUCGCACGAGAACCCUCAGCUUGCUGGGGUAAGUAAAGUGGCGCACGGGUGAGUAACGCGUGGGUAAUCUGCCCUCGAAUCUGGGAUAACCCCGCGAAAGCGGGGCUAAUACCGGAUGAAAUCCAGUCAGCUUUGGCUAUAUGGAUCAAAGGUGGCCUCUGCAUGCAAGCUACUGUUUGGGGAUGAGCCCGCGUACCAUUAGCUUGUUGGUGGGGUAAAGGCCCACCAAGGCGACGAUGGUUAGCUGGUCUGAGAGGAUGAUCAGCCACACUGGAACUGGAACACGGUCCAGACUCCUACGGGAGGCAGCAGUGAGGAAUUUUGCGCAAUGGGGGUAACCCUGACGCAGCAACGCCGCGUGAGUGAUGAAGGCCUUCGGGUCGUAAAGCUCUGUCAAGUGGGAAGAACCCAUUCCGGCACAACAAGCCGGGGUGCUGACGGUACCACUGAAGGAAGCACCGGCUAACUCCGUGCCAGCAGCCGCGGUAAUACGGAGGGUGCGAGCGUUAUUCGGAAUUACUGGGCGUAAAGGGCGCGUAGGCGGCCGAUUAAGUCAGAUGUGAAAUCCCGGGGCUUACCCCCGGAAGUGCAUUUGAUACUGAACGGCUUGAGUAUGGGAGAGGGAAGUGGAAUUCCUGGUGUAGCGGUGAAAUGCGUAGAUAUCAGGAGGAACACCGGUGGCGAAGGCGACUUCCUGGACCAAUACUGACGCUGAGGCGCGAAGGCGUGGGGAGCAAACAGGAUUAGAUACCCUGGUAGUCCACGCAGUAAACGGUGAUCACUAGGUGUAGCGGGUAUUGACCCCUGCUGUGCCGGAGUUAACGCAUUAAGUGAUCCGCCUGGGGAGUACGGCCCGCAAGUUAAACUUCACGGACUUGCGGGGGCCCGCACAGGCGUGGUCCUUGUGGUUUAUUCGACGCAACGCGAAGAACCUUACCUGGAUUUGACUCUCGGGAUCCCGGGGAACGCGGGAGUGCCCUUCGGGGAGCCCGAAGACAGGUGCUGCAU
rnacentral:rRNA from 1 species